GACGAACGCUGGCGGCGUGCUUAACACAUGCGAGUCGAACGGAAAGGCCCCCUUGUGGGGUACUCGAGUGGCGAACGGGUGAGUAACACGUGAGUAACCUACCCUUGACUUUGGGAUAACUUCAGGAAACUGGGGCUAAUACCGGAUAGGAGCUCCUGCUGCAUGGUGGGGGUUGGAAAGUUUCGGCGGUUGGGGAUGGACUCGCGGCUUAUCAGCUUGUUGGUGGGGUAGUGGCUCACCAAGGCUUUGACGGGUAGCCGGCCUGAGAGGGUGACCGGCCACAUUGGGACUGAGAUACGGCCCAGACUCCUACGGGAGGCAGCAGUGGGGAAUAUUGCACAAUGGGCGGAAGCCUGAUGCAGCAACGCCGCGUGCGGGAUGACGGCCCUCGGGUUGUAAACCGCUUUCGCCUGUGACGAAGCGUGAGUGACGGUAAUGGGUAAAGAAGCACCGGCUAACUACGUG
rnacentral:rRNA from 1 species